CCAGACUCCUACGGGAGGCAGCAGUGGGGAAUAUUGCACAAUGGGGGGAACCCUGAUGCAGCGACGCCGCGUGGGCGAGGAAGUAUUUCGGUAUGUAAAGCCCUAUCGGCAGGGAAGAAGAAAUGACGGUACCUGAAUAAGAAGCACCGGCUAAAUACGUGCCAGCAGCCGCGGUAAUACGUAGGGGGCAAGCGUUAUCCGGAUUUACUGGGUGUAAAGGGAGCGUAGACGGCAGUGCAAGUCUGGAGUGAAAGGCGGGGGCUCAACCCCCGGACUGCUCUGGAAACUGUACGGCUGGAGUGCAGGAGAGGUAAGUGGAAUUCCUAGUGUAGCGGUGAAAUGCGUAGAUAUUAGGAGGAACACCAGUGGCGAAGGCGGCUUACUGGACUGUAACUGACGUUGAGGCGCGAAAGCGUGGGGAGCAAACAGGAUUAGAUACCCGUGUA
rnacentral:rRNA from 1 species